rnacentral:lncRNA from 1 species
AUUUUCUUAUUAUGGAUAAAAAUUGCUCCUGUUUUUCUGCUGUUUACUCUCUAUUAUUAAGUGACAACAAGAUGUUAUUUGUUUUAAAGAAAUAGAGUUGAGUUUGAUGCUUGAAAACAAGAAAGGGUCACCUCCUUUCUUUCUUGUUUCUAGCAUUACUGUUAGUGUUAUUACCCUCCUCAGAUCUCUCCAAUUUUCUUUUCUUCUUUUGAUUGACUAUAAGCCCAUAAAAGGGUUCAUUUAAUCAAGAAAAGGCCAAAAAUUUCUUGUUUGUUUCUCCUCAAAGUCUUCAUUUAUACCUGGGAUGCCUGCCCCGCGCAACAACCCUCCUCUGUGCUUCAUUUCAUUGCCGAUGCUUUUGCAUUGUUCGUGAGUUAAGAUAUACUCCUGCUAUAUUGUCUUUCCUUGUUCCAACUGAGUCCCAAUUUUGAUGGCCAAUUAAGCUAGUAGUACUUUUUUUUAGUGGUCUACGUUUCCCAUGGUUUUUCUCUCAUUUGGAGUCAAACCCCUCUUAGUCAAUCUUUCACGUUUUUGUGUCAUUUGGCGAUAAUUCUCAUGGUUAUCUGAAAGCGAGGGACUCAGCCCCCUGCGCAUUGCUUUCCAAGAACUUCUUCUCUUGUUUUGUUCAGCUGGCUCUCAGCUAAAGUUUGGUAUUUUGGGUUGGCUGGAUCUCGGUUCUUUUCCCACACAGACCUGUGUCUGUCUGCUGUUUACCAUGUAAUUCAAUUCAGUUCACCUUUUACUUAUCUCUUCUAUCAGCUUUCUGCUUUUAGGAUUUCGAACUUUCUUUUUUAAGCCCAAGCAAAAUUCUGUUUAAGUAUUAUUACUCAACCUUCCAUUUUCAUGGCAUCCAAACUUUGAUUUUCUUGAUCAUGUAUUGGCCUUCAUUGAUCUUCCUGAAUUCCGCUAGAGUUUUAAUCUUGAUCAUGUAUUGGCCUUGACUGGUAUUCA